rnacentral:rRNA from 1 species
UACGUAGGGGGCAAGCGUUGUCCGGAAUCAUUGGGCGUAAAGAGCGUGUAGGCGGCCAGAUAAGUCCGCUGUGAAAUCUCGAGGCUCAACUUCGAGCUGUCGGUGGAAACUGUCUGGCUAGAGUCCGGAAGAGGAGAAUGGAAUUCCUGGUGUAGCGGUGAAAUGCGCAGAUAUCAGGAAGAACACCAGUGGCGAAGGCGGCUCACUGGCCCGGUACUGACGCUGAGGUGCGAAAGCGUGGGGAGCAAACAGG